rnacentral:misc_RNA from 1 species
AACGCACAUUGCGCCCUGUGGUAUUCCGCAGGGCAUGCCUGUUCGAGCGUCAUUUAACCACUCAAGCCUAGCUUGGUAUUGGGGCACGUGGUUCCGCGGCCCUCAAAAUCAGUGGCGGCGCCGGUGGGCUCUAAGCGUAGUACAUACUCCCGCUAUAGGGUUCCCCCGGUCGCUCGCUAGAACCCCCUCAUUUUUACAGGUUGACCUCGGAUCAGGUAGGGAUACCCGCUGAACUUAA